rnacentral:tRNA from 2 species
GGUCAAGCGGUUAAGACACCGCCCUUUCACGGCGGUAACACGGGUUCGAAUCCCGUACGGG